ACAUUGCUUUCUGCAUCCAUCCAUCAAUGGACACUGAAUCAUCUCAUCUUCUGGCAAUUGUGAAUGUGCAGAACAGGAGGGCUUCGGACAGGCUCAGCUGGUCCUGGAUCUCCUGCUGGCCCCGGCACUUGACAAUCAUGUAACCCUUCUUCAGGUGGAACACGAGGUUCCGCACCACGUCCACAACCUUGUCUUCAGUUCCUUUGUCCACCAGAUCAGGCUUCGUCAAGAUUCCUGCGAGCCAGAUGUAUUUGGGGAGAGAACGUGCUCAGUCACGAGGCAGAGGUGAACGAACAACUGCUCACGCCCCCGGCCUCCCAGGGUUUCCUCCCAUCCUUGCUUGAGGACAGGCCAUAGCCCCUGCAGAACCAUGGGGGCAGUGGAGCCCCGCUCCAGAAAAGAACUCCACGACAAGCCGCGUGAAGGCAGGGAUGCCUCCCAGAACAGCAUGUGGCUCUCCCCAAGCUCCUUCACCCGGGUCCACUGUAGAACACGCCACGUUUUGUUUAUCCCUUGAGUUAUGGACAUCCCAUCUCAAAUGCAUUCUUAAUGAGU
rnacentral:lncRNA from 1 species